CACGUAGGGUGCGAGCGUUAAUCGGAAUUACUGGGCGUAAAGCGUGCGUAGGCGGUUCGUUAAGUUCGUUGUGAAAGCCCCGGGCUCAACCUGGGAAUGGCAAUGGAAACUGGCGGGCUUGAGUAUGGCAGAGGGGGGUGGAAUUCCGCGUGUAGCAGUGAAAUGCGUAGAGAUCGGAAAGAACACCAACGGCGAAAGCACUCUGCUGGGCCGACACUGACACUGAGAGACGAAAGCUAGGGGAGCGAAUGGG
rnacentral:rRNA from 1 species